rnacentral:lncRNA from 10 species
AAGGAGCAUUGAGUGGCCAAAGUCAAAUCCACCCAUAGGGCCAGGCAUGGUGGCAUGCGCCUGUAUUCCCUGGGGGAGGAUGAGUGAACGCUGGACUCUCGGCAGAGGUGGGGCAGUGCCCCAGGGGAGGCUCUGAAAGACUGAAAGCCAAGACCACUAGGGAUUGAUGCUGCCCCGUGCCCCACCCCAGGGCCAGUGGACCUUGUGGGUCACACAGACAGGGGCUGCGCUCUGUUCGCAGUGCCCAGCUUGUGCCCUCCACAACGGGGCACCCUGUAAGCAUCUGCUGGGAGAGAGAUGGAGAGAGUGAGGGCGAGUGCCCACGCCUCCACCCUGGGAGAGGCAGUGUGAUG